rnacentral:lncRNA from 1 species
AAAAAUGAGAAGUCAAGUUUAAUUAUAAAAAAUGUGUGGUCUAUCCCUCUAUUAAAAUCUGUAUACACAUCUGUACUCCAUGACCUCAGAUUGCCAUAUUUCUUCCUCUGAAGCACAAGAAAGUCUUCCUUUUACCUCACCCAAUUCUCUCCUGCUUUUAAUUCGAGCCUAUUUCCAUUCAUUGGGUUUGUUGCAGACAUGAAGAGCAAACUGGCUUUGAAGUUAAUAAUCAUUAUUUUCUCAUUUCUUGGGAUAAAGGCAAAAAGAAUCCCUUCAGCCUUCCCUCAGAAACCAUUCUUUAGCCCUUUCAUCAUCUUUGUCACUUCUCUGAACUCACUCCAGGUUCGCCACAUCUGCACGUUACAAGCGUGAGUUCUCAGUGUUCUCAAACAUCCCCAACUCCGUUCUCAAAAACAUCUGCCAGCACUUGGGGCCAAGUCUAGAGUUAAUCCUUCUGUUUUAACACCUCUGGUAUGGGUCACAGACUAGCCGUUUUGUUGCCUUUAAACAAAACAAACAACAACAAAAAAACCAUAGGGAUGGGAUAUUUCGAAGGUGAGUGGCCAACUUUCAGAAUGACAGUGUUUUCUUCUGACCUCAAAGAUGGGCUGCCUUCCAAGGGGAGCCUUGAAGUUUCA